AUUGAACGCUGGCGGCAUGCCUUACACAUGCAAGUCGAACGGCAGCACGGGAGCAAUCCUGGUGGCGAGUGGCGAACGGGUGAGUAAUAUAUCGGAACGUGCCCAGUCGUGGGGGAUAACGUAGCGAAAGCUACGCUAAUACCGCAUACGAUCUACGGAUGAAAGCGGGGGAUCGCAAGACCUCGCGCGAUUGGAGCGGCCGAUAUCAGAUUAGGUUGUUGGUGGGGUAAAGGCUCACCUAGGCGACGAUCCGUAGCUGGUCUGAGAGGACGACCAGCCACACUGGAACUGAGACACGGUCCAGACUCCUACGGGAGGCUG
rnacentral:rRNA from 1 species